rnacentral:piRNA from 1 species
UCUGCUUUCUUCUGGUCCUCCUCCU